rnacentral:rRNA from 1 species
UAGGGAAUCUUCCGCAAUGGACGCAAGUCUGACGGAGCAACGCCGCGUGAGUGAAGAAGGAUUUCGGUUCGUAAAACUCUGUUGUUAGAGAAGAACAGCGCAUAGAGUAACUGUUAUGCGUGUGACGGUAUCUAACCAGAAAGCCACGGCUAACUACGUGCCAGCAGCCGCGGUAAUACGUAGGUGGCAAGCGUUGUCCGGAUUUAUUGGGCGUAAAGCGAGCGCAGGCGGUCAAUUAAGUCUGAUGUGAAAGCCCCCGGCUCAACCGGGGAGGGUCAGUGGAAACUGGUUGACUUGAGUGCAGAAGAGGGGAGUGGAAUUCCAUGUGUAGCGGUGAAAUGCGUAGAUAUAUGGAGGAACACCAGUGGCGAAGGCGACUCUCUGGUCUGUAACUGACGCUGAGGCUCGAAAGCGUGGGUAGCAAACAGG